rnacentral:tRNA from 1 species
UGGGUAAUAGCUCAGUGGUAGAGUGCAUGCUUAGCAUACAUGAGGUCCUGGGUUCAAUCUCCAGUACCUCCA